rnacentral:rRNA from 1 species
UACGUAGGUGGCGAGCGUUGUCCGGAUUUACUGGGCGUAAAGAGCGCGCAGGCGGUCGUUCAAGUCGCGUGUGAAAGCCCCCGGCUCAACUGGGGAGGGUCACGCGAUACUGAUCGACUCGAAGGCAGGAGAGGGUAGUGGAAUUCCCGGUGUAGUGGUGAAAUGCGUAGAUAUCAGGAGGAACACCGGUGGCGAAGGCGGGUCUCUGGGCCGAUACUGACGCUGAGGAGCGAAAGCGUGGGGAGCGAACAGG